rnacentral:lncRNA from 1 species
GCCUGGAGUCCUGGCUUCUUAUAUAAGGAGGAGCAGCCAGGAAGUGGGGCUCCUGGCUGAUGCGUGAUCCCCUAGGUGCAGGGGUUAAAUUAGGUACUGGAUUUACACACAAAAAGCCCUCCUACAGUUGUGCAAAGCUUCAUGCCCUUUCUUUCCUACUUUUUGGUGGCUAAGGCCCCUCUUGUGCAAACCAUUGUAAAUCCCCACAGAGCUGGUUUUGAGAAUUGCAGGAAGCUGACACAACUACGCUCCUCAGCCAGAAGUUUGUGUGUCUGACAUUCGAUUGCAAAUUGCGACUUUCCAGGGUUUCAUAGUUCAGGAAUAGAGCUGAGGUCAGCGAGGCUGGGAGAUUUCUCGGUCCACAGCACAGUGGGGAUCAGGAAAGAGCACUGAUGUCCCCAAGUUCUGAAUUCCUGGGUGUCAAGAUGGCUCUGGCACGCUAGGUCUCAACGCCUGCUUCUUGCUCAGUGAGCAAUGGCCCUGUGGAGAGAAGGGCAACCUGCAAACACGCAGCUUCUGGGGUGGCGAGCUCGCCUCCCUUGGGUCUGAAGGGAGCAGCUUAUCUGAGGUCUGGCCGAGAGUGAUCCGUAAGGACCUGGGCUAGGAGAUGGGGGCCAGGAGUACCCUCCACCCCCAACUGCAGAUAUAAACAAGGGGACCAUGCCUCAACCUUGACCCCCAAAUGCCUGACUGGCCGGCCCUUGUUGGACCAGGACGUGUGACUCUCAGCCGUUACCUGCUGUGUAAACGCAUGUUUCAGUCAACUUCACAGCCACUGCCCAAGCAGGGCCCUCCACUCCACCCCGACCCCAGCGUGUCUCAGCAACCCCAGGCCUCACUCAUCGUGCUGUCUUAUAAGACACAUGCGGUCCUGGCUUUGGCCUCCGCAUCAUGUCAGUGUGUGGCUGCCCUGUCCUGGGAAAAGGGACCCUGCUCUCCUUUCUGCAAUGCCAUCCAAGGGGUGGGUGAGCUUUUCUUCUAAUGCAGCUGAGAUCAGACUGACAUUUGGAAUCAGACUGUACUGGAGGCUUCGACAAACAGGUACAACACAAAGCCCUGGACAAAAGGGCAGCCAGAUGCAGAGUGUCCUACCGGAUGUGGUGGCUCUUAGGGCCGCUGGCCUGUCCUUGGGAAGCACGGGUCUCGCUGCAGAGUUCUAACUGCCAUCCUCUCUCCCCAAAAGAGAGGGCCUAUUUACUCUCCCUACACCCAGGCCUUCAAGCUGGAGAGAAGCCGGGGACUUGAAUUCACCUUUGGGACAAACUUUACUUUGUCCCCAGGCCCAGAGAGAAGAGGAAAUGCCUUUUCACCGCAGCCCGGGGCUCAGGUCCUCUCAUUUCCUGUGCUGGGAUUUGCCUUGCCUAGGACAGCUGACUGCAGGGUUAUUUGUCCAGUUCCAGAGGGGGACAGCAGCCCCACCCUCAGGAGUGGCCCGGCCCUCCGGCCCCACAGGAUGGACAUCACAGAGCCGCAGUGUGCCAGCAGCACGCGUGGCCCUUACCCGUGCAUGGAGGAUGUUGAGGUUUGGUCCUCAGCCUCAGUGAAGCUCGUGUCUUCCCAGAGCAUCUACAUUCAGGUUCCUGGUGGCUGCACAGUUCCACUCGGGGAUCACACGUGGGCAUCUGCUGCACUUAACGUGGUUUUCGCAGAAAGGGCAAAUCUGCCUUGGGGCGGAUUCAAGUAUUGACUCCUCCUUAUGGCUAUGUACUGAUUGAAGCCUUGGAGUGUAGCUUAUUCAGAGCUUAAAAAGUCUCCAGGCUCAGGGCUCAGCGAGAGCACCACGUGUUUCUGUGCUCACGUCUGUCCCCCGUUCCCCACACCCGCUAUUUUAAAGCUCUCUAUUCCCCUCAAACCUCCUACCCUACCACCUGCACCCCAUUCUUGGCAGCUGCCCUAAUGUGGGGAGAAAACAGAGCCAGCAGUCCACCCACCUCGGCUUCCCAUCAACAUUAUGUGAGUAGGAGUGGCGGCUCCUGGCCUCUCCUCCUUUUCUCCUGUCAUGCUGGAGAAGGGUCGCUGCCCUGCCAAACUCAGCCCUCCCCACAUCAGAUUGAUGGCAGUGGAAGGCAGCUUCUAAAAAGACUCUGGUUCCUUCUUGCUUGCCCUUUCUUGCUGAUUCACUUGCUCACUUUGCUGGAAGCUGGCUGCCAUGUUGUGAGCUUCCUUGUGGAGAGGCCCACGAAGAAAGGAACUGAGGGAGGCCUUGGGCCAGCAACCAGCAAGGAGCUGACUUCCUCAGUCCAACAGCCUGUGAGGAAAUAAAUCCUCCCAAGAGUCAUGUGAGUAGCUUGGAAGUGAACCCUCCCCCCCCCGUUGAGCCUUCAGAUGACUGCGGCCAACACCUUGACUGCAGCCUCAUGAGAGACCUUGAGCCGGGGGACCCAGCCGAGCCAGUCUGGAUUACGGACUCCCGGAACUGUGAAAUUAUAAAUGUUUAUUGUUUUAAACUGCUAAAUUUUGUAGUAAUUUAUUAUACAGAUAUAGAUAAAGAAUACAUUAGCUCUCAGACCUGUCAAUUUCUCAGCCCUGAAAACUCUGGAAAAACCUGUGGAUCCACAUAAGGUUGCUGCUUUUUACUUUACAAAAUAGGUCUUGAAAAAUGAGAACCAAUUUUUUUUUUAUUAAGACUAUGAUAGUUAAGAACUUUGUGAAAUUUCAGUUGUACAUCAUUAUUAGUCAUGUUGUAGGUACACCGCUUCACCCCUAGUGCCCUCCCCCCGCACCCCUUUCCCCUGGC